GGAACCUGUGCCCCUUUCUCUCUCCCGGUCCUUCCAAUUACAUCUCCUUCACCACAAUCCCAUCACAAUCUCCUUCACCACAAUCCAAUUGCAACUCCUUCCAAUUGCCCCUUUCUCUCUCCCGGUCCUUCCAAUUGCAAUGUCUAUCCACAGCACUGCGGCAAGAGAUUUUGUGGUGGCCAACAGCUAGAAAGGAGGUGAUGAACAACGACAUACGGGAGCGGCUGCCACGGAAAGAGAGGAGGACGUCGGUGGCCGGUGGUGGGAGGGGAUGCAGCGUCGGCGUUUGGUGAUCGGAAGGAUGCAGUGGCCUAUCUAGAUCACAAACCCAGCGCCGUCGUCAGCGAAGAUGAAGAUCCUCCACUCCGUGCUCCCCUCUGGCCGAGGCGCACAAUCCAUGCGGGAAGAUGGAUCGGGAGUCAAGACCUUCGCCGAUGAAAAAAUCGCCGUCGAAGUCGCCUGAGCCCUCUUUUUGCAGUUGGCCGGGCGGAGGAGGGCAUGGGCCCGUCCCCUCUCUCUACCGAGGUCACACGUUUAUGGGAGGAGGCGAGGCGGCGGCACUCCUUCGGAUGCAUCUACGCUUGAUGCACCCUCUCUGUGCCUCUGUGGUGAUCCCUCUUUGUGUAGGACACGGCGAUGACUCCAUGGGUAGAUCUGGUGGGUGACUGCACGGCGCCGCUCUAAUUCAUUCACUUUCUAAGCCAGCGCUGAUUCCUCUAUUCCCUGCGGAGGGCUUCUCUGGCUGCUCCUGACAUUGAUUGAUGUGAUGGCCGAUGGACGUUCCUCUGGUCCUCGCUGUGUUGGGCUCUUUCUGGAGUGCGUCUCACCUUCAUGUCGACAACUUGGGUCUGCUGAUGCUGCGAUGUUAUUGGUGGUCUGGCUUGCGUCUUGAUCUGGUCGAAGGCAGCAUGUGUUCCGGCGUGGCUUUUGUGGUUGCUCCACACUCCAGCAAUUCUGCAGUUCAUGUGGGCGCUCGCAGGUGGAAUACAUCUAAUCAUUCUGCAAUUAAGACUGCUUGGCCCCUCUGAUGUUGUAGGAGUGGGAUGCUCUUAUGCUAUCUAAUCUUGCUUUUGAGCAACAGGUACAAACAACAACACAUGAACUUAGUCAUGCAUUAUACGAGGUAUUUGCCAAUCUUUUCAAAUAGUUUCUUGAACUAUAAACAUGUUUUUCUUGGUUUCGACAAGAAAUUAUUCUACCUUUCAAAAAGAAAGCACAUAUUUGAUAUGGGGAUCCCAAGAACCGCACACUUGCCACUUAGUUAAGAUGUCUCUAGAGGGGUUCGGAGCUUCAUAAUCCAUAGCUGCCUCUGAAGUGCAAAUAUUGCCCGUGUUCUUUGUUGAAACUAUGUGUUCCCUCAAGCAUACGUCUCUUUAUAUGGAUAUUUAUCAUUUCAUACUUACGCAUUUUACCAAUGUUUUCUUCGGUUGUUCUUUCUCUUAGGACCGACUAUCUACGUGAAGGAUCAGGUUUGUUGCACCUUUUUCAAUGGAGGCAUAAUGUAUGAAGUUAAGAUGCAAGAACCAUGUAUUGCUAUAUGAAGUUUUCUUUGGUUGUUCUUUGUUUGUCAGUGUGUUGACAACCAUCUUCUUUUGUUUCUGUUCUCUG